UUUUCAUCCAUUUAUAAUUGGCUUUAGAAAUCAGCACAUAAACCCUCCCAACUCAUUUCUCUUGGUCGGCCAAAGGAAGAAAAGGGAAGAAAAGAAGAAGAACAAAACCCUAGCUAAGAAAUUCAAGGGAAAAUCACUAGAUUUCAAGGAAUUGAGACAUCAAAGGUUCCAACGAAGCCCCAUCGCCACAUUUGGACAACUAGAGAAGUAGAGUCGACAAAAGGUUCAACAAGAUACCGAUCUCGAGGCAGCUGGUAACUUGGUCGAAGUGUCUUUGUAUAUUCGACCCUUGGUAGGUGUCUCGACAUUUAGUAGCUGUACAUUCGUCCGAGUCUCUCUGCUGGAAGUCGAGUACUCUU
rnacentral:sRNA from 10 species